rnacentral:lncRNA from 12 species
AUGGGACAGCCGCCUCGGCGCCGGGCACCCCCUCCCAAGUCCCACCAGCUCCGGGGCCAAAUCGGGCUCAGAACGCAAACCAGUUUUAACGUUUGCCUUGGCAAACACCUGCUGUGCUCAGACGAAAGCCGAUGUCCUGAAAACCACAGAGAAGUACCGAGCGGCCCGCUCACGAAGCGCUCGGCGCGCGGCACGGCCGCGGCUCAGGACCGGGUCACCGGCCCUCCGCGGGGCGGCCCGGGCUGGGGGUGGGGGUGGGGGCGGGGGCGGGCCCCGGGCGGCCGCGCAGCCUCCGAGGGAGAGAAGGGCCUCCCGUGGCCCAGCUUCGGUGGAGAAAGACCUUCCCCAACGACGGCCACUCACUGCCUGCGAGUCUGGAGAGGGAGCCGCGGACGUCCGGGAAGGCGCCGCGACACACCUCCACACCUCCGGCUGCCCUUCGCGCUCCGCUCCCGCCUUAGUCCUCACUCCUCUUCGGGAAGAGGCCACGUGAGGAGAGGGCGGGAGGAAGGUGGCCCUCGAGGCCGCUCCGCCCCCGGGAGGCCCGAAGCGCUGCCCGGCCGGGGCCCCGCGGCCCCCAGCCCCGCUGGCGGCCGCCAAGGCUGUGGGCGCGUCACUACGUACACGUGCCCGCACUCCAGACAGAGGAGGACCGCGUCCGGCCGCCCCGCCUCAGGCCGCCGCCUCAGCGCGCGGAAGUCCCGCCCCCCGGCCCGGACGGCUUCCGGGACCCAGAACCGGCUUCCGGGAGCGCCCUGCGCGGCCGGCGGGGUCGGCUGUGGAGGCCGCGUCCCCGCAGGGACAGUCAAGUCCGCCGUGCCGGCCGGGAGACCGGAGAGGGGCGACCGUCGAGCCCAGCGAGGGGUGCGGCGCGGCCCUGGAAAUAACGCCGCCGUCCUUCCGCCGAAGCCUUUGGAGAAGAUGAGCUAUAGAAUGUGCCACAGCAGAAAGAGAAAGAAAUCAGCAGAAGAGACAACCAAGAGCAUCAUCAAAGCAAUUUUAUUACCUCUUUUACCAGCCUAUAGGACAACCCAAAGCCUACUGCGCGACUCAAGACAGGAAGUUGCCCGGGCUUCAGAAGACAUUUACCGAGAAGAAAUGUUCCCAGUAAACAUAACAUCCAAGCAGCAUGCCCCGUGAUCCCAGAACAACACAAUAGUGAUUUGUCUGCCACAUUGCCUUCAGGGAAUCAGGAGGAGGAAAUGACCACUCUCUUAUUUUGAAGAAGGUUCAGCACAAGGGCAAAAUCAUCAAAUACAGUGAGACACUGGAUGAUGCUAUAAAAACUAAACAUUUGUCCCAGAAAAGAGCUCCUGUCUGAAAGUCUUGACAUUUGUGGUGACGUCCCAGCCCCCUUUCUCUCGGCAAAUGGUCAGAAAGGAAAGCAAGUUCUUCAAGGAGGGGAAGAGAUGAGAAAGAACAAGGGACUUUGGGGUUGACAUCGCUUGUC